rnacentral:rRNA from 1 species
UUGGAGGGCAAGUCUGGUGCCAGCAGCCGCGGUAAUUCCAGCUCCGAUAGUGUAUAUUAAAGUUGUUUCAGUUAAAAAGCUCGUAGUUGAAUUUCGGGGUUCUACCGUUGGUCGGGCUUUGUCUGUACUGGUGUGUAGAAUUUCUACCUUCUGGGGAACCAUCAUGUUAUUAUUUUAGCGUGGUGGGAAACCAGGACCUUUACCUUGAAAAAAUUAGUGUGUUCAAAGCAGGCUUAUGUCUGAAUACAUUAGCGUGGAAUAAUAGAAUAGGACGGUGGUCCUGUUUUGUUGGUUUCUGAAUCACCGUAAUGAUUAAUAGGGAUAGUUGGGGGCAUUAGUAUUCAAUUGUCAGAGGUGAAAUUCUUGGAUUUAUUGAAGACUAACUUCUGCGAAAGCAUUUGCCAAGGAUGUUUUCAUUAAUCAAGAACGAAAGUUAGGGGAUCGAAGACGAUCAGAUACCGUCGUAGUCUUAACCAUAAACUAUGCCGACUAGGGAUCGGACGAUGUUAAUUUUUCUUGACUCGUUCGGCGCCUUACGGGAAAC